AAGACAUUAGUAAAAUGAAUAUUACAUCACCUUGUCAAGAUGAAAUUGUAGGUUAAAUUCCUACAUGUUUUA
rnacentral:tRNA from 1 species